rnacentral:tRNA from 1 species
GCGGGAGUGGCGGAAUGGCAGACGCGCUGGUCUUAGGAACCAGUUCCUUCGGAGUGUGGGUUCGACCCCCAUCUCCCGCACCA